GGGCGGUUGGUCUAGCCUGGUAUGACGAUGCCUUGACGUGGCAUAGGUCCCCGGUUCGAAUCCGGGAUCGCCCACCA
rnacentral:tRNA from 1 species